rfam:Schistosoma mattheei strain Denwood, Zambia genome assembly, scaffold: SMTD_scaffold0000170
CUCCAGCUGGUGAGUCCCAAUUAGGACGAAACGCGCAUCCUGGAU